rnacentral:lncRNA from 1 species
CAAAUUUUGUGGUAAUAUGUAUUUCACUGUAUAUACAGUUUACAGCUCAGUUCAUAUGCUGUUUUCUGACACAUUCCAUCAAAGGGCUCUAUUCCACCAAAAAAUAUUAGAGAUCUGAAACAUUUUCUGAUUAUAGUUGCCACUGCAGGGCAAGGCAUUAUGCCAACAUUCCCAAUGGUUCCUCAGUCAAUAGUCCCAGAGGUCCAGCUUGAACAUCCACCUUGGUCUGAAUGCUUCAGAUGGUUGAAGAUCUUGUCCUUUGCCUUUUUCUCAAACUUCUUGGCCACAGAUGUUUCAGAACUGUGUUGUGUACUGCACCAUAAUUCAGUUCUUUCCCAAAGUAUCAAGAUGAUAAGAGGCUGCUCCAGGGAGAAUCUGGAAGCUACACAUGAUCAAGAUGAGGGCUGAUCAAUUUAUGGAGACUCCUUUAUCAUCCCCUGAUAAAGGACAGAUCACUCCAGAAACUGAUUGAUUGUGUCCCUCAAUUGCCUGAGUUUCAUAAGAUUUUCUUGACUAGUUAUCAAUGUUUGACAUACUUUAUAUCUUCAGACUGAGACCAGUCAACACUGCUGAUGCCUCUGUAGAAAGCUUCUAUAAAAUGACAGCAAAGUAAAUAGUGCAAUGCAUCACCAUGCUGAAUGCCACAGGGAUAGCUACCAUUGCUUUCCUGUAUGAUGGAGAAAUAAUAAAGAAAGAACCUGUGAUUUUUUUUUAAUAUUUGACUAUAUAUACAGUGCAAUGAUCUUUUAUUCUUACCAUAUUUAUUUUGUAGCAUUAAAUAUAGAAAUAACUGCAUAUUUGAUUCUGAAUUGUCAUAGAAAAUUGUUAUUUGAAUGCACAGUUUUAUAAAUUAUCUAAAUAAUUACUAUAUUUAGUUGUACAAUAUUCUCCC